UCCAUUAUCCCCUAAACAGCAACUUCAGUGCUGACAGAUUUAGUUAGUUUUUUUUUUUGUUUUUUUUUUUAAACACCUAAUCCAGGCAAAAAAUAAUGGGGGUUUAGUUACAUUAUAUGAUCAUACAUUAUUUUUUGCCUGGAUUAGGUGUUUAAAAAAUAAAUAAAUAAAUAAAUAAAUCUGUCAGCACUGAAGUUGCUGUUUAUGGGAUAAUGGA